CACACGGUGUGCCGGGGAGCGGCGGCGGGCAGCGUCCUCCGAGGUUUCUACCGGCCGCCUCUGGCGUGUGCAUUGCCCCAAGGAGCCUUUGAAGGCAUUGUCCACCUCUCGGUGGUCCCCGUCACAUUCUCACGUGACAGAUAACACUGUGCAUGUUGGUCGUGUAUUGUAGAUGAAGAGUUUUCUGCCCUUGAAGAGCCUGUCCCGAUUGAGAAUGCCUAGAGUAGACCAAGUGACUGAGCAAUCUGGGGUGGUUAAAAAAAAAAGAAAUCAUCCCUCGCCUGUAAAUAUACUGCUGUGAACAGUUUUUAAAAAACAGUUUUAAAUUCCUGCUUUAAAAAUAUAUAUAGCCCAUUUCCUUUGGGGUUCUGGUCUUCUUAGAUACUUUUAAGAUCGGAAACCCUUCUUUCUCUAGGGCACAAAGUUCCUGGGUGACUUUGGGGUUCUCCCCCAUUGGCUUCCCCUCCAGAAUAAUUACUAUUUGGUUAGCUUCACGUUUCCUUCUGGGACGCCCGGCGACUUUCUUGCCUUCUCUUCCCAAUCAGCCCUUCUAGCAAAAUGGUAGAAAUUAGAAUUGAAAGUUUUAAAACCCAGGCCAUACAUAGAACUGCCUGAAGGGCUGGGAUCAGUCUUUUAAUAGAUACAGAAAUGUCUAGACAAGGAAUGUGCAUCUAAAUUUGGCCACCUGAAGGGAAAAGUGUAAUGUUUUUGUAUAGUCCUUACCUACCAACAUUUCUUAACCAUCUGUAAUGCCUAAUUUCAGGGGUGAGGGAUCCCUUGGAGAAAAUUGUUAUAGAAGUUAACUUGGCUUGAUAGGAUUUCCCCCUACCAGUUCUAGGCACAAAUAGACUGGAAAGUAGAAAUGCUGCCCUCCCUUCAUGCCCCUCCCCUCCCCCACCCAUUUAGUAGAACUACACUUAAGUUUCCUUAAGGGCAUUGAACCUCCUUCAUGACAGUGUUUUGCUGGCUAGACAUCUGGCAAAACAUUCAGAUACAAACAGGUUAGCCUGUAGACAGACCUGUGAGGCGUUCUCUUGAUGAAAGAUUGGUGUGAAAGGGUCCAGCUGUGCCUUCCCACACUCUGGGCGGUGCCACCAUUGGGUAGGUGGUCCUAGUUGCUCUAAGAAAGCAGGCUAUUAAAGCUAGCAAGCAGUGCUCUUCCACAGCCUAUGCAUCAGGUUUUGCCUUGGCUUCCCUCGAUGAUGGACUCUAAACUCCUUGGUUCCUACCUGAGCAGAAACAGUAGAUAUGAGCCACAGCCCAAAGGCUCGUCUGCCUCCUUCCACUAUGCAGCCUAGAAGAACAGGAGAAGAGCAGGGGUCUAAGGGUGUGGCAGGUGCUGUUUUUCAACCUUAAUUCUUCCACCAAGAAUGAAACUAUUUAAAAAUUAAGAUGCCAACAGAUCACGAGCAGCCCUGUGGUCCCAGGCACAGGUCAUUUUGCCUGAAUGGGGGGAUUUGUUAUGUGAUUCCUACUAUCCCCAGCCCAUUCUGUAGGUGCAUUGAAAAUUAUACGGGAGCUCGUUGCGAAGAGGUUUUUCUCCCAAGCUCCAGCAUCCAAAGCAAAAGUAACCUGUCGGCAGCUUUCGUGGCGCUGGCAGUCCUCGCCACUCUCGCCUUUGCGGUGCUCUGCUUCCUGUGCAGGAAGGGCCACCUUCAAAGGGCCAGUUCAGUCCAGUGUGAGAUCAGCCUGGUAGAGACAAGCAAUACCAGUACCCGCCACAGCUACAGAGAGCACUGAUGACAUCCCCAGUGGAGGGCAUUAUUACCUACAAAGGCAGACUGUGGACCAUACAACAAGAGAAGGCGCAACACAACAAGGAAGGCCAGAACUCUAAAAUACAUCAACAGGUAACACUGAAGGAGCCUGAUCCUGACAUUCUUAAAAAACAACAAAUCCAAGUUUAGUUCUUUGCUGCCAGUUAUGCUGAGUGAGCAUCUUGGCAGGAGCAAAUGGGAUGAACUGGUAUGUUAGCAAUUCCUUUUCUUCUGUAUUUUCUUGAAACGGCAUCACUGCCCUGGAAGUGACCAGUGUAGAUAAGGCUGGUCCUGAAUUCAAGAGACUCACCUGUUUUUGCCUACUCAGAGUUACUGGAAUUAAUGGCACAACACUACACUCUGCUUGA